AGAAUCUUUCACAAUGGGGGAAACCCUGAUGGAGCGACGCCGCGUGGGGGAUGAAUGGCUUCGGCCCGUAAACCCCUGUCAUCUGUGAGCAAAGUUCCGGCGUAAACAGCGUCGGAAUUGAUAGUAGCAGAAGAGGAAGGGACGGCCAACCCUGUGCCAGCCGCCGCGGUAAUACAGAGGUCCCAAGCGUUGUUCGGAUUCACUGGGCGUAAAGGGUGCGUAGGUGGCGGGGAAAGUUCGAUGUGAAAUCUUCGAGCUCAACUCGGAAAUGGCAUUGAAAACUAUCCCGCUGGAGGAUCGGAGGGGAGACUGGAAUUCUCGGUGUAGCAGUGAAAUGCGUAGAUAUCGAGAGGAACACCAGUGGCGAAGGCGAGUCUCUGGACGAUACCUGACACUGAGGCACGAAAGCUAGGGGAGCAAAC
rnacentral:rRNA from 1 species